UUGCCUUUUCUUAGUUGUUUCUGUCUGUCUUGUAGCUCUUUAGUCCUUUUCUUUUCUUGCUCUCUUCCUUUGUAAUUUUGUUGACUGUUUGCAGCUGUUGGAGGCCGCACAAAUGUUUCUUAUAAUGAGGCAUAAUUGAAGCCUGUCAGUAACAAUAUGAACCUGUGGUCAAUUAAGCAGCUGACCAAUCGUUACCUCCUCCUUCUUGCUCUUGUUACCCAAUAAAUAAGAAGGGUUGUGGAAGCUCAGGGGCUGCCUUUCCUCACUAGAAGCAGGGAGCUCUCUUCUUCCCCAUGCUAGCCUUUCCUUAAAAUAGUUACUUUUGUUUUCUGUUAUGAUUUCUAUGUUCGUCCGUUCAUUCAGUCUUGUAAUGACAGUCUCAAGCAGUAACAGCAGUAACUGCUGUAAUGACGGUCUCAAGUAGUAGUAGUGGCAGUCGGCCACAUUUUAUAAUUUCUAUCUCUUUGCUGAUAUUCUCAUUUUGAUUAUGUAUCAUUUUCCUGAGCUCACUGAGCACCUUAAUGUCUGUCAUUUUAAAUUUUUUCACAGAUAAUCUAUAUACUUUCACUUCUUUAUGACCAGUUUCUAGAGUUUUAGUUUGGAAUGGACCACGUUUUAUUGUUUUACCAUGCGUCUUGUAACUUUUUGUUGAAAUUCAUUCAUUUGAAAAACAACCACUUCUCCCCAUCUUUGAAGAUAGACAUCAUACAGGGAGAAGACAGAAACUGGAAGUUCCUUCUCAAUUGGACUUUACUGAGCUAGCAGGAAACAAUAUGAUUGAAAAUGAAAAUAUCUUUUGCUUCACUUCUUAUACAGCACUGAACUUGGCAGGAAAAUCAGUAGGAGUAAGUGGCGGAGGCAUGGGACUGGCAGAGAUACGGCAGCCCCUGUGGAGAGGCUGUCUACAGAUAACAUAACAAUAACAACAGGAUCUGCGGGGUUCCUGCAUGCGUGUUGGCUUCACUGGAGAAACUAAUCAAGUGGUGCAGUUUGGACACAGAGACUGACACACAGGAAGAAUACCAUGUGAAGACUGGAGUUUUGCAUAGAGAAGCCAAGGAGCUACCAGAAGCUAGGAGAAUGGCCUGGAACAGACCUUUCCUUAGUGCCUUCAGAGAGAGCAUGGCGCUGCCAACAUCUUGAUCUCAGACUUCCAGCAUCCUGAAUUGUGUUUUUACGUGAAGACAAGAGAAAC
rnacentral:lncRNA from 10 species